GGGUGAGUAACGCGUAAGGAACUUGCCUCUUGGACUGGGACAACUGUUGGAAACGACAGCUAAUACCAGAUAUUAUGAGAUUCUCGCAUGAGAAACUUAUGAAAGCUAUAUGCGCCAAGAGAGAGCCUUGCGUUCCAUUAGCUAGUUGGUGGGGUAACGGCCCACCAAGGCGACGAUGGAUAGCCGGCCUGAGAGGGUGAACGGCCACAAGGGGACUGAGACACGGCCCUUACUCCUACGGGAGGCAGCAGUGGGGAAUAUUGGACAAUGGGCCACAAGCCUGAUCCAGCAAUUCUGUGUGCACGAUGAAGGUCUUCGGAUUGUAAAGUGCUUUCAGUUGGGAAGAAGAAAGUGACGGUACCAACAGAAGAAGCGACGGCUAAAUACGUGCCAGCAGCCGCGGUAAUACGUAUGUCGCAAGCGUUAUCCGGAUUUAUUGGGCGUAAAGCGCGUCUAGGCGGAAAAAUAAGUCUGAUGUUAAAAUGCGGGGCUCAACUCCGUAUUGCGUUGGAAACUGUUUUUCUAGAGUACUGGAGAGGUGGGCGGAACUAC
rnacentral:rRNA from 1 species